UUGCACCGAAAUACGUUUGUUUAUUCCAUCAAAUUCCAUCAUUGAUAAAUUUUAACAGAAUUUCCAAUAAAAUAAAUCUCUCGACUUGUUUUUGUAUACAGUUAAAAUAUUUUCAUCUUUUCAAAAUGUCGGAAAUGGCCGGUUGUAAUAAAGACGGAAAUCAACGGUGGAAAGUGCAAAGAUUUGUAUCGGAAAGUGAUGGCACUGGUUCUAAUGGAGGUGGAAAAAACGCUCCAGGCGGCAGCUCGAGCAUAAAAAAAGCGGCAGUAAAAGUUAACCCGUGCCUUCGGUACCUCCAUUUAGGAUGAAGGACAACAGCGCGUUCCAAUGUGGUAGUCUGGAGUUUGGACGAGUCACCUUUGCCGGAUGAGCAACUUUCCAUCGCAUCCUUGAUUGCAUCGCAUUCUGAUCCCAACUUCAAGGAUAGCAAUGGGCUCGUGGCCGGAAUAGCAAAUACAUGGAGGACAACACAUGCGGAAAUGAAUCAAUUUUGGACGAAGGGAAAAGGCAUGCCAUAAUUUUAUAUACCGGGCGGUGCUGUUCCCGAGCAAUCCUCAGUAAAAAUCUAGCAACCAUCCUCAGCGGAACCCUCGAGAAAAUCGCCGACCACGAAGAGCUCCUUUCGGAUGGGGUUCAAAAAUUUGCAAUCAUCAACAAGCUGGAACCAAAAGAAAAAAUUCCGACUGGGCAGAAUCGAUCGUAACUUUGAAAACCCGGAAACGGUGCCGUUGUUUAGAAAUAUGUAAAUAGUCCCGUUCCUAGCAAGUGGCUGCCCAGCUCCCAAGCGAUUGUUCCUCAUGCGUCAUAUUUUUGGCCGUCUGUCCAGGGAAAGUUUUCGAAGGGCUCGACUGUGCGGACCUGAAUGGCAGAGCUGGGAUUGUUAAGGAUUUCCACCAUUUCCACCGCUCAAAGGCGCUCGGAUCAUAUGGAGGAAAAGCACUUCUAAGACGUUCGGGCGCGAGAGAAUGAAAAUAGUUCAGGCGAUGAGUGGUAUUCGUUGGAUACGUCCCGUGCUAUAAAUCAAGUCAUAGGUCGUGACAUUUGACAAAAAAAUUAUCACUGUGUGAUUCUGAUGUGCUACAGCCGUUUUCAUAACCCUCGACAGAAAGCACAACUAUUUCCUGGAUUCAGAGAGAUCUGAGCGCAGUCGAAGUUUCCAAAGUUUCACAGUACCCGCCACCAAAGGCAGUGUAGUUUACGCAGUUCAUCCCUCCAGUAUUUUGCUGCUCGAAUGGAUUUUCUUGAUGUGUCCCAAAAAACAACAAAAACAAAAAGUAACAGGGUUUGGCAGUCAAGUCAUGAUCAGAUUUGACAUAGGCUGGAUCAGCCUCCAGCAGGCGUUAAUGAUAAGUGUAGAUAACAAUCGUAAGGAUACUGUAGUCGGGUAGUAUAAGAAUAUAAUUUGUGCUGUGAAAUUUCAUGUUGUUAGAUAGAAUAAGAAAAAAAUUUGUGAUGUAAAAAUGUUCGACCU